AAGGGGAUACCCUAUGUGCUUUUUGGUUGCUGUUUAGCCCCCUCCCAGUUGGCGUCAUGGUUGCCUGUGUGCUGAUGAGGGGAGGAGAACAAUGAGUUGGCGUCGUCUCGUGGUUGCCUGUGUGCUGAUGUUAAGUGGAUUGUGAUGAGUUGGCGCGUGGCAUGUUUGGGUUCUGGCUUUGUUUUGUUUUUUGUCAUAUACGCAGGAUCAGGCCAGAUUCUUUGAUGUAUCUUACCAAGGCAUUGCUAAUUUCGUGUUGGGUGUUUGUUGCUCAGUGGCUGGACAGUGAAGUAUGGCAUGGGCUGUGGUUUCAUUUUCCCCGCAGUAGGGACAGGCUGGAUCUAGUUCACUUUGGAAUCGAGCCAAGUUUGCUGCCAGUCUAUUGUGUCCUGAUCGCAACCUGAACAGGGUUCUCGUUACCUGCCUGGAUUUGUGUAUGUGCCAUUUGAGCAUGCCAGUUCUGGAUCUCAGGUGUUCCCGUAGGAUUGCUUCUUGCUCCCCUGUUGAAAGUAGGUUGCAUAUUUCCUUGGUGGCGACGAGAUUUAAGGAUUCCUUCACGGCAAGCUGGUCGGCCCUUUCGUUGCCUGGGAUACCUACAUGACUAGGUAUCCAGUCAGUAUCAGCGGGUGAUCGGUCAUUUGCUCGAUUCUUAUGAGGUCUUGUUGCUGAUCUAGGGUGCUUGGCCGGAUGAAAAGGUCUCCUCCUGGUGCUUUACUGAUUCUCGAUGCAAAUAAACCUAGUUUGUUCUCUA